rnacentral:rRNA from 1 species
UACGUGAAACCGUUCAGGGGUAAACGGGAGAAAUCCUGAAUUCGAAAGGGGUGGAUUCAGCUCUAUACGGAUGCUUACUCAGGCUCCAACACCCCGGAUGGUGCCGGUCGCCCGCGGCGAUUCAUUUCGUUGGCGGUGUCGUUCCGGCAAUCACCGGGUCGUGCUGGUACGUACUCUGGCACCGGAAGUGUGCACUUCCCCCCUAGUAGAAACGUCGCGACCCGUUGGGUGCCGGUCUAAGGCCUGGGAUGGCAGACCAUGUGUCCUGUGAGGGUUCUCACAGGCGCGUGGACUCCUGGAGACCCGGCCGGCUGCCCGACGGUAUGACCAGAGGAGUCGAUCCGCUAAAUGGGAAACACUAUGGUUGUGAAGCGUCCGGCCUGGUUCCGAUGCGUGCGGGGAUUGAGGGUAAAACCGGGGGUGCCCGUGCGAAGCACGGCCCCGGCCCCGUUGCGUUUUCGGUUCCGGUGUCCUCGGACUGGAUCGUUACUCCCGUCGGCGACGCCCACCUUCGGA